CCUGGUGUGUGUAACAGAUCUGCUCCCUCCCGAGGGAAAGCUCUGCACUGUCGUCUUUUUGCCUUACCCAGACAGGCAGACCGAUGAACCCCUGAGAUACUGGGAACGCCGGCUACUAACAAGCUGGGAAGAGGAAAUAGGUUUUAUUACUGAGAUUUCCUUGAAGACAUUCACUUGACUUUGUGGCAUCAGAGACGGAAGAGAAAUGAAGAACACAGGAAUCUUGGCACAGCAGGAGAGAUUGUGCACGGAUAAUAACAGAGAGAAGCACCAGGCCUAGAUCCCAGCUAACGUGACAUGACCCUACUGAAGGAAGGUGCGGACUGGAAGAGCCCAUGCAAAUCACAAUCCAUGCCUUGAAAUCUCAGAGGGCUCAUUUUGGAAUGAAAUACUGAGUUUCCUAAGGGAUAA